UACGGAGGGUGCAAGCGUUAUCCGGAUUCACUGGGUUUAAAGGGUGCGUAGGUGGGCAAGUAAGUCAGUGGUGAAAUCUCCGGGCUUAACCCGGAAACUGCCAUUGAUACUAUAGGUCUUGAAUUAUCUGGAGGUAAGCGGAAUAUGUCAUGUAGCGGUGAAAUGCUUAGAUAUGACAUAGAACACCAAUUGCGAAGGCAGCUUACUACGGAUCGAUUGACACUGAGGCACGAAAGCGUGGGGAUCAAACAGG
rnacentral:rRNA from 1 species